rnacentral:lncRNA from 1 species
UUUUUUCUUAAUAUUUACUAUUUAUUAAUUCAUCCCAAAUAGGCAUAACGACUAUGGGCCGAACAGUUACACAAUGACAAAGAAAAGCCUAAAUCGAAACUCCACCUGAAAGAAGAUCUGAGAACGGACGGUACACCGGAAACACAACCUAAUAUACCAUUCCCGUCGCUAACAAGAACUACUCCUUUGUAUCGAGGAGGAGGAACUCAAGUCUUUGGCUGGAGUUAGCGGUUCCUGGCGCAUGUUGAGGCCUCAUCCCGCCGUUUCCUGGAGCUUUCUCCCGGAAUAGAUUAUGUUGCGACCUCCGAGACCCUAUCCCUUGCGUCCUCAGCCUAACAAGAUGAGAGAACACGAAAUCGAACCCCCUUUCCGAUUUUGCUCACCAGUGAGCCUUUCGAGCAAACCAAUCCUCAAUCUGGUGAAGCGAAUCCAAAUCAUGGCGACUGAAGACGGUUGAUGGCUCAAACAACCCUUCAGCUCUAGAUCUCCAUGACUAACCAUCUAGGAUUUUCCAAGAUCCACAGUCAAUAUCUUCACAAGCAGCAAACCACCGAUCUAGAUCUCGACUUUUCGCCGCUUCUCAGAGCCAAAACAUUAGCCGCCAAGCCAUGAGUAGCCACUCAAAACACCUGCCAGUGUUCUCGUGCCAACAAGACCAUAACCAUGAAGGAGAAGCAACUCAAACCAAAAUGGAAGAAGCCUCCAAGAUACAUUGAGACCAUAUCUACCACACCCAAAGCCGCCGAAGAGAAGAGGAAGCCCACCUCUGCAACACUGAUUAACCUAAAAGAGCCGCCGUUGAAGAUCAGAGAACAAAGAGAAAAAAGUGAGGGGAUGGGCCAGGGCGAACUGUUGGGGAGAGAGUAGCCGCUCAAAGGCUUGGUUCGUUAAUCAACGAGUUAAGAGUUACCGCCAUUAAAGAAUCAUGGCUAGAGAAAUAUUGGUGGUCAAAAAAUUGUAUGAGACAGGGUCUAUUCGGGGAAGUAGUCGCAGACGCUGCGACUGGGAUAAGAAAACCCCUUUAUAUUUUGUUUAAAUCUUCUUCAUUUCUCCUUUUUUUCCUUUUGCUGCGACUGAGAUUUCAGUAUAGUGGGAGUCGCUGGAAUCAAUAGCGACACUACACAUGCUUUAAUUUUGAUGUUGCGACUGUCACAAGUUUUAAAAAUCAUUCACAGAUAUCGACGGGGAAGAAGAUGUACAGUGAUAUUGUAAACUAAAAAUAAAAAUUAAAUUCAGUAUUUAUUGACA